GAGAAGCACCAUUUUUUUUUCGACCUCAGAUUAG
rnacentral:rRNA from 4 species